UACGUAGGGGGCGAGCGUUGUCCGGAUUUAUUGGGCGUAAAGAGCUCGUAGGCGGCUCGUCGCGUCGACCGUGAAAACCCGCGGCUUAACUGCGGGCUUGCGGUUGAUACGGGCGGGCUAGAGUUCGGUAGGGGAGACUGGAAUUCCUGGUGUAGCGGUGAAAUGCGCAGAUAUCAGGAGGAACACCGAUGGCGAAGGCAGGUCUCUGGGCCGAUACUGACGCUGAGGAGCGAAAGCGUGGGGAGCGAACAGG
rnacentral:rRNA from 1 species